GGAACGACACUCGAUUGAACUACCUGCAGGGUCCUAUAAUAACACCAUCCGCUUUAAAACAAAACUGUUAUGUUUAAGGGUUUGUUUUGCUCAAUAAUAAACAACUUUUCCUUUGGAGUUCGGGUAAAUAUAUCCCCAGCGGGAGAUACUUUGUAACAGUUGUGUGCGUUCUAAAGAGAUAUUUUGUAACCGAUACAUAUUUUCCUGCUGACGUCACAGAGAGUGAGGAGAUACUUUGUAACAAUUCGCGGAUAUUUAGUAACCGCCUCGCAGACGCUUUAAAUCUGUUCUACGAGGGGAAAUAAGCAAAGAAAUCAGGAAUGAAAGUCCGAAAUGCACAUGUAGUCCCAGGGCUUCCUCUUGAAGAAGCUUGACACCGCCUGUGCUGAAGCUCUGGACGAAUUCGCAGCGGUUUUUACCACACAAUAGUGUCCAGAUUGUCUCACUAUGGCUGUUUAUGUCGAAUCAUAAACUCGGCAGUGGAACAAGACUCCUCUCUUACACGAAAUAUGUGUGUAUUUUUUCUUCUUUUCCCUCCUCCUGUUCCUCCAUUGCUUGUUGGCGCAACAGCGUUUCAUUUGAACAGUCUCCCGUGCGCAUAUUGUGAAAUAUCAUCUUUAUUUACCUUCCCCCUAGUUUGUCUGGGCGCAUACGAACGUUUAUAGACCGUUAGUGUGCAAUAUACAGAUAUAUCUCCACAUAAUCCCACACUAUCAAUGGGCUGUGUCCGAGCAGUUCAGACUCUUCAGCAGAGGAAAAUCACUUUCAAAAGCUCCUUACCUUCUUCCACAAGAGAGCUACCAGCCAGGGCGCUUCAAGUGACGUAACGAACCGGGAUACGCGCUCCCGACACUGGCCUCCAUGACCGUCGUGACGUGCACGAGCACUUCUGCACUUCUUAUGCGAGGUGGCACCACGUAGAGGAUGAUGUGCUGGUUAUGUACAUUGGGAUUCAAGUACAGUUUAGACUACUGCUUAGGAUAGAGACCUGUCUUCUGCACUCCAAAAGCGGUGAUGAAGAUGUUGAUGAUGACGGUUUUGUGCAUAAUGCACGAUGGAUUUCACUCUCACCCAUGUGGACAAAGAGAGCCCCCGCGACCACUUGGAAGAAGAGAGACGCGGCGAUGAGGACGAUGACGGUGAGGUAGUACUUAAACUCUGGGCCCUGCUCC